GAGAGAUGGCUCCCACGUCCAAGGAUGGCAGCAGGCGCGAAAAUUGUCCACUCUUUUGAGAGGAGACAGUUAUGAAACGUGAGUAGAAGGGUCGAGUGUAAAAACCUUGACGUGAAGCAAUUGGAGGGCAAGUUUUGGUGCCAGCAGCCGCGGUAAUUCCAACUCCAAGAGUGUCUAUGGUGGAUGCUGCAGUUAAAGGGUCCGUAGUCGUAGAUGCAAUUAAAAGGUGGUGUUAAAAGCCAUUGAGUUUGUUGAGAGUAGCGGAACGGAUAGGGAGCAUGGUAUAGGUGGGCAAAGAAUGAAAUCUCAAGACCCCACCUGGACCAACGGAGGCGAAAGCGAUGCUCUUAGACGUAUCUGGGGAUCAAGGACGAAGGCUAGAGUAUCGAAAGUGAUUAGACACCGCUGUAGUUCUAGCAGUAAACUAUGCCGACAAUGCUGGGUGUUGCGAGAGCGAUGCUUGGUGUGGGAGAAAUCUUAGUUUUCGGGCUCUGGGGAUAGUACGCUCGCAAGGGUGAAACUUAAAGCGAAAUUGACGGAAGGACACUACCAGGAGUGGAUUGUGCUGCUUAAUUUAACUCAACGCGGGAAAACUUACCAGGGUCAAGUCUAUCGUAGAUUGGAGACAUGAGGUAGACAAGAGUGGUGCAUGGCCGUUGGAAAUUGAUGGGGCGACUUUUAGCUUAAGUGCUGGAACCAGUGAGAUCUUCUAGACAGGUGUUAUUUAGGCACAGGAGGGAGAAGGCAAUAACAGGUCCGUGAUGCCCUUAGAUAUCCUGGGCAGCAAGCGCAAUACAAUAUCUCUUGAGAAGACAAAGCAAUUUGAGAUGAGUAGGAUUAGCUUUUGUAAAUAAGCUAUGAAUGAGGAAUUCCUAGUAACAGUGUCUCAUCAAGGCAUUGUGAAUGUGUCCCUGUUC
rnacentral:rRNA from 1 species